rnacentral:rRNA from 1 species
UAAGGAGUAUUGGUCAAUGGGCGCAAGCCUGAACCAGCCAUGCCGCGUGAAGGAUGACGGCCCUAUGGGUUGUAAACUUCUUUUUGUACGGGAAAAAACCUCUGGUCGUGUACCAGAGCUGAUGGUACCGUAAGAAUAAGCAUCGGCUAACUCCGUGCCAGCAGCCGCGGUAAUACGGAGGAUGCAAGCGUUAUCCGGAUUCAUUGGGUUUAAUGGGUGCGUAGGCGGACUAUUAAGUCAGUGGUGAAAUCCUGCAGCUUAACUGCAGAACUGCCAUUGAUACUGAUAGCCUUGAGUUUGGUUAAGGUAGGCGGAAUGUGUAAUGUAGCGGUGAAAUGCUUAGAUAUUACACAGAACACCAAUUGCGUAGGCAGCUUACUGAGCCGACACUGACGCUGA